rnacentral:sRNA from 1 species
UUUUAGCCCCGAUUGAAGUGGAAAUCCUCCCGAAUUUUUUUUCGGGAGAUUGCAGCGAAAAGCGGGACGAUAU